GCUGGAUUAGCUCAGUAGGUAGAGCGGCUGUUUUGUAAACAGCGGGCCGCGGGUUCGAUCCCUGCAUCCAGCACCA
rnacentral:tRNA from 1 species